rnacentral:rRNA from 1 species
UCAGGACGAACGCUGGCGGCGUGCCUAACACAUGCAAGUCGAACGGACGAGGGGAGCUUGCUCCCCAAGUUAGUGGCGGACGGGUGAGUAACACGUGAGCAACCUGCCCUUCGGAGGGGGACAACAGCGGGAAACUGCUGCUAAUACCGCAUAAUGUAUUCUGGAGGCAUCUCCGGGAUACCAAAGAUUUUAUCGCCGAAGGAUGGGCUCGCGUCUGAUUAGAUAGUUGGUGGGGCAACGGCCCACCAAGUCUGCGAUCAGUAGCCGGACUGAGAGGUUGAACGGCCACAUUGGGACUGAGAUACGGCCCAGACUCCUACGGGAGGCAGCAGUGGGGAAUAUUGGGCAAUGGGGGCAAACCCCCUGACCCAGCAACGCCGCGUGGAGGAAGAAGGCUUUCGGGUUGUAAACUCCUUUGACGAGGGACGAUGAUGACGGUACCUCGAAAACAAGCCACGGCUAACUACGUGCCAGCCGCUGC